UACGGAGGGUGCAAGCGUUAUCCGGAUUCACUGGGUUUAAAGGGUGUGUAGGCGGGCUGUUAAGUCAGUGGUGAAAUCUCCGGGCUCAACCCGGAAACUGCCAUUGAUACUAUCAGUCUUGAAUAUCGUUGAGGUAGGCGGAAUAUAUCAUGUAGCGGUGAAAUGCAUAGAUAUGAUAUAGAACACCGAUUGCGAAGGCAGCUUGCUAAACGAUUAUUGACGCUGAGGCACGAAAGCGUGGGGAUCAAACAGG
rnacentral:rRNA from 1 species